rnacentral:rRNA from 1 species
UCGUUGGUGAGGUAACGGCCCACCAAGGCAUUGAUCAGUAGCCGGCCUGAGAGGGCACACGGCCACACUGGCACUGAAACACGGGCCAGACUCCUACGGGAGGCAGCAGUGGGGAAUCUUGCACAAUGGGGGAAACCCUGAUGCAGCGACGCCGCGUGAGCGAUGAAGCCCUUCGGGGUGUAAAGCUCUUUCGGCAGGGAAGAUUAUGACGGUACCUGCAGAAGCAGCUGCGGCUAACUACGUGCCAGCAGCCGCGGUAAUACGUAGGCAGCGAGCGUUGUUCGGAGUUACUGGGCGUAAAGGGUGUGUAGGCGGCCUUGUAAGUUUGGUGUGAAAUCUCCCGGCUUAACCGGGAGGGUGCGCUAAAGACUGCAGGGCUAGAGUACGGGAUGGGAGAGUAGAAUUCCUGGUGUAGCGGUGAAAUGCGUAGAUAUCAGGAGGAAUACCUGUGGUGUAGACGGCUCUCUGGACCGUAACUGACGCUGAGACACGAAAGCGUGGGUAGCAAACAGGAUUAGAUACCCUGGUAGUCCACGCCCUAAACGAUGCAUAUUUGGUGUGGGUCAUUCAGUUGAUCUGUGCCGGAGCUAACGCGUUAAAUAUGCCGCCUGGGGAGUACAGUCGCAAGGCUGAAACUCAAAGGAAUUGACG